rnacentral:rRNA from 1 species
UGGGGAAUAUUGCACAAUGGGCGCAAGCCUGAUGCAGCCAUGCCGCGUGUGUGAAGAAGGCCUUCGGGUUGUAAAGCACUUUCAGCGAGGAGGAAGGCAUUAAGGUUAAUAACCUUAGUGAUUGACGUUACUCGCAGAAGAAGCACCGGCUAACUCCGUGCCAGCAGCCGCGGUAAUACGGAGGGUGCAAGCGUUAAUCGGAAUUACUGGGCGUAAAGCGCACGCAGGCGGUUUGUUAAGUCAGAUGUGAAAUCCCCGAGCUUAACUUGGGAACUGCAUUUGAAACUGGCAAGCUAGAGUCUUGUAGAGGGGGGUAGAAUUCCAGGUGUAGCGGUGAAAUGCGUAGAGAUCUGGAGGAAUACCGGUGGCGAAGGCGGCCCCCUGGACAAAGACUGACGCUCAGGUGCGAAAGCGUGG